rnacentral:rRNA from 1 species
UACGUAGGCAGCAAGCGUUGUUCGGAGUUACUGGGCGUAAAGGGUGCGUAGGCGGUUGUUUAAGUUUGGUGUGAAAUCUCCCGGCUCAACUGGGAGGGUGCGCCGAAUACUGAAUGACUAGAGUGCGGGAGAGGAGAGUGGAAUUCCUGGUGUAGCGGUGAAAUGCGUAGAUAUCAGGAGGAACACCGGUGGUGUAGACGGCUCUCUGGACCGUAACUGACGCUGAGGCACGAAAGCCAGGGGAGCAAACGGG